AUAAAUUACUAUUCAGUUCGAUUCCGUUUAAUCUAUUUUUUCUCUUCAAAAAACAACCAAACCAAAAUAACCGAAAUUUUUAUAAUGUAAAACCGAAUCGAACCGAUUAAUUUUUAAAAUCAAACCUAUUAAACCAAAUUGACUCGAUUCGAUUCGAUUUUUCAGUUUGAACCAAAUUCUGUUCAGCCCUAUCCCUGGCCAUUACUUCCCUUUUCCCAAAUUUAGGUGGUUUGGUCGAAUAAUUUAUUUAUCUGCAAUAUAUGGUUAAUCAUUUUGAUUUUUAAUAUUUUACUUUUACUUUUACUUUUGUUCUAUUAUCAGCAAUAUAAGAUUUUUUUUUUCAGUAGUAAUUAACAAAAUUAUAUAUUUUUUAAUUUAAUAAAAUAAUUAUAAAAUUAAUUAUUUUUAUUUAAUAACAUUAAAAUUAUUCUAAAAUUUUAAGAUUUUAAGUUUGUAUCCUAAUACACAUAAAUCAAUUA
rnacentral:misc_RNA from 1 species